UGUGUAGGUGGUGAUGCAAGUCUGGUGUGAAAUCUCGGAGCUUAACUCCGAAAUUGCACCGGAUACUGCGUUGCUGGAGGACUGUAGAGGAGAUCGGAAUUCACGGUGUAGCAGUGAAAUGCGUAGAUAUCGUGAGGAAGACCAGUUGCGAAGGCGGAUCUCUGGGGCAGUUCCUGAACUCGAGGCGACGAAGGACCGAGGGAGGCGAAC
rnacentral:rRNA from 1 species